AAGGCCAUGGGGCGCCGUGUGUAUCUAAUGCCGAGAAUCCGAAGCGCGCUCCGAGCACCCUCUGCAGUCGCCUUGGCUGGAGCGUCAGGUUUGCCGGGUUCCUGCUAAACGUCCAGGGAGAAGUUGCUUUGCACGGAGAAACUGGAUCCUGAUGGGAUCUGGAGCAUGAGGCGCCUUGUAUCUGUUUUGCACUGUGCAGCGGCUCCAGAAAUCUGUACUGUGCAGUAAACCGAAAGGGACGCCUGCUGCUUAUGAAAGAGCAGCAAUGGAGGUGAUGAACAUGAUGGAGCAGCCGAUCAAGGUGACAGAGUGGCAGCAGACCUACACCUACGACUCGGGCAUACACUCUGGGGUGAACACCCAGGUGCCGUCGGUCAGCAGCAAAUGCAUCGGGGAUGAUGAGGACCUCUACGCCAAGCAGUAUACCAUCAAGACAACCACCUACAGAGAGGCGGGGGGCCAGGGCCUGGGCUCAGCAGCAGCAGCAGACAUGGAGUCUCAGCUGGCCAUGACACGGGCCCAGCGUGUCCGGGCUGCCAUGUACCCAGAGACCAUGGAGGACCGGUCCCUGCUUAUGACCACUCACAUUGAUGGCCAGCAGACCAACGUACAGAGGCUGGCCGAGCCGUCGCAGAUGCUGAAAUCUGCCAUCGUGCACUUGAUCAACUACCAGGACGAUGCAGAGCUGGCCACGCGGGCCAUCCCAGAGCUCACCAAGCUGCUGAAUGACGAGGACCCGGUUGUGGUCAGCAAAGCGGCCAUGAUAGUGAACCAGCUGUCCAAGAAGGAGGCGUCGCGCCGUGCCCUGAUGCAGUCCCCACAGAUUGUGGCCGCGGUGGUUCGUGCCAUGCAGAACACCAGCGACUUGGACACGGCCCGCUGCACCACCAGCAUCCUGCACAACCUCUCGCACCACCGCGAGGGGCUGCUGGCCAUCUUCAAAUCGGGAGGCAUCCCAGCUCUCGUGCGGAUGCUCAGCUCCCCGGUCGAGUCGGUCUUGUUCUACGCAAUCACCACCCUGCACAACCUGCUGCUGUACCAGGAAGGUGCCAAGAUGGCGGUGCGCCUGGCUGAUGGCCUGCAGAAGAUGGUUCCCCUGCUGAACAAGAACAACCCGAAAUUCCUCGCCAUCACCACUGACUGCCUUCAGCUCCUAGCCUAUGGGAACCAGGAGAGCAAGCUGAUUAUUUUGGCCAAUGGGGGACCCCAAGCCCUGGUGCAGAUCAUGCGCAGCUACACCUACGAGAAACUGCUCUGGACCACCAGUCGGGUGCUCAAGGUCCUGUCUGUGUGUCCCAGCAACAAGCCUGCCAUCGUGGAGGCCGGUGGCAUGCAAGCUCUGGGGAAACAUCUGACCAGCUCCAGCCCAAGGCUCGUACAGAACUGCCUGUGGACCUUGAGGAACCUCUCUGAUGUGGCCACCAAGCAGGAGGGUCUGGAUGGCGUCCUCAAGAUCCUGGUCAACCAGCUGAGCUCGGACGAUGUGAACGUGCUGACCUGCGCCACCGGCACCCUCUCCAACCUGACCUGCAACAACAGCAAAAACAAGACCCUGGUCACGCAGUCCAAUGGGGUGGAAGCCCUGAUCCACACCAUCCUGAGGGCGGGCGACAAGGAGGACAUCACUGAGCCGGCUGUCUGCGCCCUGCGGCACCUCACCAGCCGGCACCCGGAGGCAGAGAUGGCCCAGAACUCGGUGCGGCUCAACUACGGCAUCCCAGCGAUCGUCAAGCUCCUCAACCAGCCCAACCAGUGGCCGCUGGUCAAGGCCACUAUCGGUCUGAUCCGCAACCUGGCUCUGUGCCCGGCUAACCACGCCCCACUGCAGGAGGCUGCCGUGAUCCCUCGCCUGGUCCAGCUGCUGGUGAAGGCUCACCAAGAUGCCCAGCGCCAUGUGGCAGCUGGCACGCAGCAGCCGUACACAGAUGGAGUGAAGAUGGAGGAGAUAGUGGAGGGGUGCACAGGAGCCCUGCAUAUUCUGGCCCGGGACCCAAUGAACCGCAUGGAGAUCUUCCGACUCAACACGAUUCCUCUCUUCGUGCAGCUGCUCUACUCCCCAGUGGAGAACAUCCAGCGGGUGGCAGCUGGAGUGCUGUGCGAGCUGGCCCAGGACAAGGAAGCUGCUGACACGAUUGAUGCCGAGGGGGCCUCUGCUCCGCUGAUGGAGCUGCUGCAUUCCAGGAACGAAGGCACAGGUGAGCCGAGCCAGCUGGAGCCACGCGCUUGGAGCUGGGACUCCCAGCGGGGCUCGCACCGAGCUGCUCAGUCGGCGUGUUGGGCAGGCCCUGGUUCUGUUCCGUUCUCAUCAGCUUCUCCUGUUCUGCUGCCUCGGGGCUGCCGCCAUCUGGAGCAUGGGUGCUAUAACAUGCCCCCACCAGGACGCCCUAGCCAGCUGACGGGGUUCGACUGUCUCCUACACUCGGCACCCGCUCUGUGGCCCCCUCUGCCAUGCACAGGGCUGCAACACCAGAACGCUCUUAAAGGAAGUGCCGUCAUUCCCUCGACAUUCCUUCUCCCACUAGGCUCCAGCCCCGGGGUUUGAGGGGCAGGAAGCACUUAGCAGGAGGGUGACGGUGCACAGGUCCUCCUCCAUGAAACGGUGCUGUGGCCCCUGGGGCGUGGAGGCUCUCGGGACGGUGCAGGCCGAGCUGCUGUGGCAGUCCUGUGGCAACAGGAAACGUAAUUAAAUGCAGAGCCUCCCGCUGAAGUGGAAAUCAUUCAGCCAUCUGCUCAGAGAGGAGCGUGGCUCCCUCCGCCAUCUGCUGGCAUUUAGAGGUUUCCUCUUCCAACAUUCCCCCCUCUCUGUCCAGCCACCUACGCCGCAGCCGUGCUGUUCCGCAUCUCUGAGGACAAAAACCCCGACUACAGGAAACGCGUCUCCGUCGAGCUCACCAACUCCCUCUUCAAACAUGACCCUGCUGCCUGGGAAGCAGUAAGUGCCUGUCUGUAUAGGGGUGGGGUCAGGCGCGGCUUUUCCUUCUAGAACUGUUCAGGGCCAGCUCAUGGUCCUUGGUGGCGAUGCAGGAGCUCUCCCCUCCCCCCCGAGCUGAGCGCUCUAUUUGGGCGCUAAUGUCUUCCAUGAGAUUGUUCUCCCACUGCCCUGCCCACGAAUGGGGUUUGUACCCAGGGUGUCUGGGAGGCCGCUCGGCUCCGCGGGUCCCCCCGUGGCUCAGAGGGCCCAGGGGAUUCUAGUGGAACUUGGGCCAGGAAGAACGUGAGACACAUCUUCCACUUAGCCCUGAGCGUGUGACCGUCUGCAAUGGGGAGGGUGGGGGCAGGGACAGGGCACGGGGGUGCCUGUUCUUAGGUGGGAGGGGUUAGUAAAUGGAGGGCUUAAUGCUUGUACUGGGGGACUCAGGGCUGGAACAUCUAAGCUCCAUUUAGAAACUGGUCCAACAUGAUCUGGCUACAACCCUUGAGUCUCCCUGCACUGGGGCUGGUGGGCAAAGGGGGCACCAUGGGAGCUGGGUUUCCUGUUGCUGCAGGCAUCUUGCAUUGGCACACAAUCCUGGCCACAAGUGGCCUCCUGGGGCUGCAAUCAGCCCAUGAGCUGGGCAGAUAGGGGUGCUCAUGCAGCAUCCCCAGGUAGCAGGAGCCCCCCGCUCCUCCCCAGGAGCUGUGAUUCCUCCAGUAAAACAGCUCAGCGCUGGCACCACCCCAGAGGCUCCAGGAGCCUUUGUUCCAGCGUCCCAGCUCCCAACAGGGAAGCUGCUGCCAUGGCUGUCCCAGCACCAUAAGGUCCUGUUACCCUCUUCUCAAAAGCCAUUGCUGCCGGGAAAAGCUAAUGCUCCCCACGUGCGUGUUCCAAGCACCAUGCGAAGGCUGACCCCAAACAGCCCUUGUGUCUCUGCGCCCUCGUGUUACCUGUGUGUGUCUCCUCCCUAGGCGCAGAGCAUGAUCCCGAUCAACGAGCCGUACCCGGAGGGUAAGUGCUGGGCACGUGCUUAGUGCAGAAACUGCCAAGCUCGGCAGAGCCGGCGUGUCCUGCCAAUGCCUGCCGGGGCACCAAACGGUGCAUCUGAGCUGGGGGCCCUGCUGGGCCACUUGGCCGGAAGCGCCCGUCAGGUGGCUGUAGCCUUCUGCCUCCGCUCCCCAGCAUGGCAUGGCUUGGGCUCUGUGUACGUCUGGCUGGCCGGGUUUUAGUGUCCGGGCACAGGAGAACUAAACACUGGGCUACGAACAAACGCCAGGCCCCAGGUGACUGGCAGCGUGGCAUUGCCAUGCUCUGUACAUGGAGACUAAUUUCUCUGCUCCCUCUUGGGAGCCCCAGCCUCACUCCAGUUUGCUGAGCCAUCCUGCUCCCAGUUCAAGUCCUGUCAGCGUCCCCUCCCCUCUGGAACGUCGCGCUGCAGGAGAGCACGCUGCUGCCUGUAGGCGAAGUGUGUGGCCAGGAGCUUUGGUGUCGCCCCGGCCAAGGCCAGCUGGGGCUUUUAUUCCUCCCGUGUCAGGACACGAGCCAGCCUCCAAAGGGGGCAGGAAGAAACUUUCCCUUAUACCGUAUCUGGCCGUGUUGGGGUCUCCUGCAGUAUUUGGUGCUGGUGCCUGUCAGGCCUUGGGCUUGAUGGACCCCAGCUCUGAUGCAGCCUCAGUGGCCGGGAGCGCAGCUGUAAUGCUGGGAUGGGAGCUGGGGUGUCCCCACCUGAGCACAGAGCUGGUGCUAAUUCUCUGCUCAGUGGCUGGCAUGCGGGCUAACGGCUGCCCUCUCCCCCUGGUGGCUAGAUAUGGAUGCUGGGUAUCGUAUGUAUGCGGGUGAUGACCCCUUGGACAUAAACAUGGAUAUGGACGGAGACUACCCCAUGGACACCUACAGUGAUGGCGUCCGAGGUCACUACCCUGAACACAUGCUCGCCUAACCCGCUCCUCAGGCACUGCACAAGGUGUGUUGUCCGGGCAGAAGAGGGUGGCUCCAGAGAUGAGCGCUUGCAAGAGGGACUUGGGAGACAGAAGUGCCUGAGACCAACUUUUCCAUUCCCACCAGAGGCUUUAUUUUUAGAUUUUGUUUUGUUUUUAUUUCUUUUUUGCUGUGGGUCUGUGAAAAAGGCCCUUUCCUCCUGAGAUUGCUUCAAACACCCUCCAGCCAAGCCAAGAUACUGUUUCUGAAGCUUUAAAACACGCGACUCCCGCGUCAUUAUCCAACUCCAUUGGCAUGACAGUAAUCGUCUUUUCUAUAAAUAUAUAUUUCUUUUAUUUUUUAAUAUGGUGCAAAUGGCUUUUGCUGUCUGAUUUUAAGUUCAUGCUUUUUAACUUCCCACUUCCUGUUCUGUGUUUAGUGUUUAACAAAAAUAAUCUAACAUUUUAAAAUGAGCCUUUUGCUUUCUACAAACUUUAAAAAUAGCAAAUCCAGUGAGUUUGCAGAAAACAAAGGGUGCUGUGUUUUCCUGGGAUCUUUGUUCUAGCCCAAGGGAUGUCAACGGCUUUAUUCCUUCCGAUCAGACGUGGGUGAACAGAAUUUCAGUGCAACUGUCCUUACUAUAGAGGAGUGACUCUAACCACUAGGAACUGUGUCCUUGUAUCAAUCUACUAUUGCACAAUUUAACCUGUCUCCUUUCUGGUGAGUGGUGUUUCCUUCCCCUCUUCCCUUCUCUUCAUGCAUUUUUAAAGCGACUCUAGAUCUGAUGGCUUACUGCUUCUGUUGGAAAGGGAUCGAUGUUCUUGGAAUGUGGUUCAGGAACUGAGGAUUUUAUUAUUUCUGUAAGUUUUUUGUAUAGACCAAAGCAAAGAAUAAAACACCCUAACCCCA